GAUGAACGCUGGCGGCGUGCUUAACACAUGCAAGUCGAACGAUGAAGCCCAGCUUGCUGGGUGGAUUAGUGGCGAACGGGUGAGUAACACGUGAGUAACCUGCCCUUGACUCCGGGAUAAGCCUGGGAAACUGGGUCUAAUACUGGAUAUGACUUCUCAUCGCAUGGUGGGGGGUGGAAAGAUUUAUUGGUCUUGGAUGGACUCGCGGCCUAUCAGCUUGUUGGUGAGGUAAUGGCUCACCAAGGCGACGACGGGUAGCCGGCCUGAGAGGGUGACCGGCCACACUGGGACUGAGACACGGCCCAGACUCCUACGGGAGGCAGCAGUGGGGAAUAUUGCACAAUGGGCGCAAGCCUGAUGCAGCGACGCCGCGUGAGGGAUGACGGCCUUCGGGUUGUAAACCUCUUUCAGUAGGGAAGAAGCGAGAGUGACGGUACCUGCAGAAGAAGCGCCGGCUAACUACGUG
rnacentral:rRNA from 1 species